rfam:Myotis brandtii contig213617, whole genome shotgun sequence.
UCCCAGUGAGGAAACAUUCACAUGUCUUACCUCCUGUCCUGGUCCCAGAGCCUAUAAUGGUGACCCCACUGGGGCUGGCUGGGGGAGAAGAGGAAAGUUUGUUUCAGGAAAAAAAAGAUAUGGAGU